GSCGCGGUAAUUCCAGCUCCAAUAGCGUAUAUUAAAGUUGUUGCAGUUAAAAAGCUYGUAGUUGAAUUUCGAGAUCAGUACGCUGGUCGUGCCUUCGGUAUGCACUGGUGUCACUGGUUUCUCCCUUYUGAAGAACCGUCAUGCCAUUCAGUUGGUGUGGCGGGGAAUCAGGACUGUUACUUUGAAAAAAUUAGAGUGUUUAAAGCAGGCUCGCGCUUGAAUACAUUAGCAUGGAAUAAUGAAAUAGGACGUUUGACCCUAUUUUGUUGGUUUCUAGGAUCGACGUAAUGAUUAAUAGGGAUAKUKGGGGGCAUUAGUAUUCAAUUGUCAGAGGUGAAAUUCUUGGAUUUAUUGAAGACUAACUACUGCGAAAGCAUUUGCCAAGGAUGUUUUCAUUAAUCAAGAACGAAAGUUAGGGGAUCGAAGACGAUCAGAUACCGUCGUAGUCUUAACCAUAAACRAUGCCGACUAGGGAUUGGACGAAGUUAAUUUUAUAAUGACGMRWKSGGCGCCUUACGGGAAAC
rnacentral:rRNA from 1 species